rnacentral:hammerhead_ribozyme from 1 species
AUACAGAUGAUGAGUCCCAAAUAGGACGAAACGCGCGUCCUGGAU